rnacentral:rRNA from 1 species
AUGAACGCUGGCGGCGUGCCUAAUACAUGCAAGUCGAGCGAACAGAUGAGGAGCUUGCUCCUCUGACGUUAGCGGCGGACGGGUGAGUAACACGUGGAUAACCUACCUAUAAGACUGGGAUAACUUCGGGAAACCGGAGCUAAUACCGGAUAAUAUAUUGAACCGCAUGGUUCAAUAGUGAAAGACGGUUUUGCUGUCACUUAUAGAUGGAUCCGCGCCGCAUUAGCUAGUUGGUAAGGUAACGGCUUACCAAGGCAACGAUGCGUAGCCGACCUGAGAGGGUGAUCGGCCACACUGGAACUGAGACACGGUCCAGACUCCUACGGGAGGCAGCAGUAGGGAAUCUUCCGCAAUGGGCGAAAGCCUGACGGAGCAACGCCGCGUGAGUGAUGAAGGUCUUCGGAUCGUAAAACUCUGUUAUUAGGGAAGAACAAAUGUGUAAGUAACUAUGCACGUCUUGACGGUACCUAAUCAGAAAGACACGGCUAACUACGUG